UACGUAGGCAGCAAGCGUUGUUCGGAGUUACUGGGCGUAAAGGGUGUGUAGGCGGUUCUUUAAGUUUGGUGUGAAAUCUCCCGGCUUAACUGGGAGGGUGCGCCGAAAACUGGAGUGCUUGAGUAUGGGAGAGGCAAGCGGAAUUCCUGGUGUAGCGGUGAAAUGCGUAGAUAUCAGGAGGAACACCUGUGGUGUAGACAGCUUGCUGGACCAUCACUGACGCUGAGGCACGAAAGCGUGGGUAGCAAACAGG
rnacentral:rRNA from 1 species